GCCACCUUAGCUCAGCUGGCAGAGCAGUGCUUUCGUAAAGCAAAGGUCCAGGGUUCGAUCCCCUGAGGUGGCUCAA
rnacentral:tRNA from 1 species